CCAUUUCUUAAUAUCCUCACCAUUUCCAUCUACACCUAAACAGACAUUUUUAUACAUCGUGGAUCCCCGUCGUUCGCCGAUGAGGAUUCAGGUGUAAGACCAACUGAAUCCCCUGCUCCGGAAUUCCCGUGAGUCGCCGAGGAUUCCGCUGGGAUCAUACAAGAACCUCUGCGACCCGAAGCUGACCUCUUUGGAAUUCCUGGGUUCAGCACUUUCCCCUCUGUCCGAUUUCAUUCAGGUCAACUGGACACUGCAGAAAGUGUUAUUUGCCCAAAGUGUCUCGCAGUAGGACAGAACGAGGGACCUCGUGGUUGUUAAGGGAUCUUUUUGACCAUUCGGCCGUCCUCUGCCUACACACACACACACACACACGAAGCACCUGCUGAAGAUGACGUGCAACUUCCAAAGAAAGUUUUAACACUGGAAAACUUCAAGAUUAUCAGACGAUAUUUAGCAUAAAAGAAUAUUUUACAUCGAGCACAUCAUGAAUAUAUAUGAUAUAUUCUUUAAGACGCUACACAGAAGAAAUAUUACCCUGUUUAUAUAAAUCGAUUAUAGAAUUGUAAAAGAUUUUCUUUGGACAUUUUUAUACAUCGUGGAUCCCCGUCGUUCGCCGAUGAGGAUUCGGGUGUAAGACCAACUGAAUCACCUGCUCCUGGAUUCCCGUGAGUCGCCGAGGAUUCCGCCGGAAUCAUACAAAACCCCUUCGAC